rnacentral:snoRNA from 1 species
AGGUCAUUUCAAAGGGGGCUAGGGGUGUUGGCUCUGAAUCAAAGAGCUCUUAAAGUGUGACCAAAGACUGAAAUUCACCACAGGAUAAGAAGAAGACAUGCAACUUAACCUCUCAUACUCAUGACAUAAUU